rnacentral:rRNA from 1 species
GAGUAAUGUCUGGGAAACUGCCUGAUGGAGGGGGAUAACUACUGGAAACGGUGGCUAAUACCGCAUAACGUCGCAAGACCAAAGAGGGGGACCUUCGGGCCUCUUGCCAUCAGAUGUGCCCAGAUGGGAUUAGCUUGUUGGUGAGGUAACGGCUCACCAAGGCGACGAUCCCUAGCUGGUCUGAGAGGAUGACCAGCCACACUGGAACUGAGACACGGUCCAGACUCCUACGGGAGGCAGCAGUGGGGAAUAUUGCACAAUGGGCGCAAGCCUGAUGCAGCCAUGCCGCGUGUAUGAAGAAGGCCUUCGGGUUGUAAAGUACUUUCAGCGGGGAGGAAGGUGUUGUGGUUAAUAACCGCAGCAAUUGACGUUACCCGCAGAAGAAGCACCGGCUAACUCCGUGCCAGC